ACGCUCGACACCUACGGGAGGCAGCAGUGGGGAAUAUUGGGCAAUGGGCGCAAGCCUGACCCAGCAACGCCGCGUGAAGGAAGAAGGCCCUCGGGUUGUAAACUUCUUUUGACAGGGACGAAACAAAUGACGGUACCUGUCGAAUAAGCCACGGCUAACUACGUGCCAACAGCCGCGGUAAUCUGAGCGGGCUGGCAAGGC
rnacentral:rRNA from 1 species